GAUGAACGCUGGCGGCGUGCCUAAUACAUGCAAGUCGAGCGAACGGACGAGCAGCUUGCUUCUCUGAUGUUAUCGGCGGACGGGUGAGUAACACGUGGAUAACCUAUCUAUAAGACCGGGCUAACUUAGGGAAACCGGAGCUAAUACCGGAUAAUAUUUUGAACUGCAUGGUUCAGCAGUGAAAGACGGUCUUGCUGUUACUGAUAGAUGGAUCCGCGCUGCAUUAGCUAGUUGGUAAGGUAACGGCAUACCAAGGCAACGAUGGCUAGCCGACCUGAGAGGGUGAGCGGCCACACUGGAACUGAGACACGGUCCAGACUCCGACGGGAGGCAGCAGUAGGGAAUCUUCCGCAAUGGGCGAAAGCCUGACGGAGCAACGCCGCGUGAGUGAUGAAGGUCUUCGGAUCGUAGAACUCUGUUAUUAGGGAAGAACAUAUGUGUAAGUAACUGUGCACAUCUUGACGGUACCUAAUCAGAAAGCCACGGCUAACUACGUG
rnacentral:rRNA from 1 species